UAGGGAAUCUUCGGCAAUGGACGGAAGUCUGACCGAGCAACGCCGCGUGAGUGAAGAAGGUUUUCGGAUCGUAAAGCUCUGUUGUAAGAGAAGAACGAGUGUGAGAGUGGAAAGUUCACACUGUGACGGUAUCUUACCAGAAAGGGACGGCUAACUACGUGCCAGCAGCCGCGGUAAUACGUAGGUCCCGAGCGUUGUCCGGAUUUAUUGGGCGUAAAGCGAGCGCAGGCGGUUAGAUAAGUCUGAAGUUAAAGGCUGUGGCUUAACCAUAGUACGCUUUGGAAACUGUUUAACUUGAGUGCAAGAGGGGAGAGUGGGAUUCCAUGUGUAGCGGUGAAAUGCGUAGAUAUAUGGAGGAACACCGGUGGCGAAAGCGGCUCUCUGGCUUGUAACUGACGCUGAGGCUCGAAAGCGUGGGGAGCAAACAGGAUUAGAUACCCUGGUAGUCCACGCCGUAAACGAUGAGUGCUAGGUGUUAGACCCUUUCCGAGGUUUAGUGCCGCAGCUAACGCAUUAAGCACUCCGCCUGGGGAGUACGACCGCAAGGUUG
rnacentral:rRNA from 1 species